rnacentral:lncRNA from 1 species
AUUUGGUAUAUAAACUUACAGAGCAGAAGUAGAGCCCAUGUGGUUGUGCCAUCUGCCAAAUGCACUGGUCAAAUCAGAGGCCUACAGCCCAAAUAUACAGGUCAAAUCUGAGACCUACAGCCCAAAUGCACUGGUCAAAUCAGAGGCCUACAGGUCAAAUGCACUGGUCAAAUCAGAGGCUUACAGCCCAAAUGUACAGGUCAAAUCUGAGACCUACAGCCCAAAUGUACUGGUCAAAUCAGAGGCCUACAGCCCAAAUGCACUGGUCAAAUCAGAGGCCUACAGGUCAAAUGCACUGGUCAAAUCAGAGGCCUACAGCCCAAAUGUACUGGUCAAAUCAGAGGCCUACAGGUCAAAUGCACUGGUCAAAUCAGAGGCCUACAGCCCAAAUGCACUAGUCAAAUGAGAGCCCUACAGGUCAAUCUGGCAUUGCUGGCACUGUCGUCCAUGGGUAGCACUGCUUAGUCCCCUGUCCCCACCCACAAAACCACUUAGUUUUACUUGAAUCACAUGAAUAUACUCCAUGUAUUUUGAAAUCCU